rnacentral:rRNA from 1 species
UACGAGGGGGGCGAGCGUUGUUCGGAAUUAUUGGGCGUAAAGGGUGCGUAGGCGGUUCCGCAAGUCCUGUGUGAAAUCUUCGGGCUCAACUCGAAGUCUGCACGGGAAACUGCGGGGCUUGAGACCGGGAGAGGUGAGUGGAAUUCCCAGUGUAGCGGUGAAAUGCGUAGAUAUUGGGGAGGAACACCAGUGGCGAAGGCGGCUCACUGGACCGGUACUGACGCUGAGGGCGCGAAAAGCGUGGGGGAGCAAACGGGG